ACCAGGUUGCCUAAUACUUUCUCUUUUGACGUUUCUUUAGAGUAGUCAAAAUAGCUAAACUCGUAUGUCAUGGCCCCGCACAGACACUUCCAUGCAGCUCUCUACUGCCCAUGGGUCCUGCCUCCAGGCUGAACACAAAAUAAAGGUGCAUGAAGGAACGAGCAGCUCGUGUCUGAAAAUUCUUUUUCCACUCGAGACUCAGUGGCCCCACGUCAUUUUUGGUGGCCCAUAUGGGGAUCAACUGUGUCAACCGCUUCGGUAAGUGUGCCUUUUUCCUUGUCCUUUUCUCUGCUCUUUGCCUGAAAAAAACCUGUCCUUAUUCUCAACAAAUUAAUGGGCACGGGUCGACCACUUAAAGGUCAUUAGGACAGUUGCCAUUCUUAAGACUCCUGUGACAGGUUUUGCUUUCAGAACUCGGAGUUGGAUCCCUCCCUCCUGCCUAUGACCUUAUCUUGGGCCUCGAGACAAUUCCCACAAUGGGAAUCCAGCUCGAGGAAAAGUACCAAGCUUGCUAAGAGCUCGGGGAAUUCCUCAUAGGGAGACGGUUAUAAAGCAUGGGCAGAACGUCCCUAUGAACUUUCUGAGAGUUUCUACUCUGACCUCUAUGUUUCUCUCUCUUGAGGCCAUUCACCAGGCACCCAUCUGCCAGGCACGAUGGGGAAGAUUUACUGGAGGACAAACGUUGGGGACGCCCCGUUGCCCCUUGCUAAAGGAACCCUAUAUAACCUUGCGGCAGGUUGCUGCCCAUAGGUGCAGGGGGAUUUUUCGGUAAUGUGCCUCUUUUUGCAUUGUUUCUUUUCUGUUUCCUUAGGACACAGGAGCCUCUGGCUCUAUACCCAAGGACUCCCCUUUGGGUUGUCUCUUAGACAACUGGACCAAAUUUGAGACUAAUCUUUUAUUGCAACACCGCCUAGCUCCAAUAUGUGUCUCUUAAAUGACAAUGAAAAGUGGCCUGAAAAUGGAACUAUAAAUUCUAACAGCAUUUUUCAACUGGACCUCUUUUGCCGACGUUUGGGGAAAUGGUCUGAGAUUCCACAUGUCCAGGCGUUUAUGGCUUUAAGCCAGGCCCCUGACCUUCGGGCUGUGUGUCGAAUGUGUUUGGUUACUCCCCAAAGACCGACAAGACUGCAGACAUCUUAGAUGACUACCUGGUCAGACUGAUUCCAAGGCCUCCCCUACAACCCCGGAGGCCCCUCCUGAUGUAGAAAGAACAUCCACCCCUCCUCCUUACUCUGAGGGCUCAAAACAACAAGACCCCUUAAGUCCAGCAGGACGCACCCGCAGUGGGGCAUCCUGUAAUUCUGGUCAGUUCCCCCUUCGGGUAGUAACUAAUGGAGAAAUGUGCACUAUUCGAGUCCAUGUCCCUUUCUCUAUGUCAGACAUGGCUCAAAUAAAGUCUCAGUUAGGACAGUAUUCUGAAAAUCCCUCUAAGUUCACUGAUGGCUUUCGGCAGCUCACCAUGAUGUUUGAGUAACCUUGCAAGAUAUAUAUAUUGUCCUUACUCAAUGCUGUACUACAGACGAGAAACGACGCAUUUGGGCUGGGGCUUGGGAGUUCCCUGAAGAGCUCCGCGCUAGGGAUCGACAUCAAUGUCCUGUAGGGGGCACAGCAGUGCCAGACACAGACCCUGGUUGAGAUUAUCAGAAUGAGCAGGAACGGGGGAAAAAGAAAUCAUCUGAUAACAUGCCUGAUAGAGGGAUUGAAAAAAGGAUUUAUUAAACCUGUGAAUUUUGAAGAACUUCAGGAAGUUACACAAGUAGUGGAUGAGAACCCUGCCCUGUUUCAGGGAAGACUAGCAGAGGCUUUUCGUAAAUACAUGAAUUUAGACCCUGCCUCUCCAAAGGGCGUCACUAUUUUAAACACGGGUUUUAUCAAUCAGUCAGCUCCUGACCUUCGGCGUCAAUUAACCAAGUCGGCCCUAGGGCCACAAACCCCCACCCAGCGGCUAACGGAGGUGGCCGCCCAGGUUUUCCAUAACAGAGACCUGGCUAUCAAACAAGAUGAGGACCGCAGGGCUAAGGCCCAGGGUAAGAUACAGGCCACAAUUGUGGAUUGGCCACAGAGACAGACUAAUUCGGCGUCCAAAGCCAAAUUUAAUGAUGGGGGUCUAUGGAAGUCCCCCUGUUCUAGAUGUCAACAGCUGGGACACUGGAGUAAGCAAUGCCCCAAGAAGGACCUGCCUCCAGGGCCACGUCCUCUUUGCAAAAAGGAGGGGCCUUGGAAGAGGGAUUGUCCUCGUCUCUGAGUGAGAGGGGCCAAGAACCUACUUCCCAGCCCGAGGAAGGGAUCCAGAGGAUUCAUCCCGAAGGGCCCAGAGGCCCGUCCGGCUCCUACUGACAUCCAACAGGCUGAGCCCGGGUUACUCUGGAUGAGGAAGGAACUGGAAAUCAAGCAAGCAAGGAUGUGAGAAAGAGAGAAAAACAGACUGAGUCCUAUGGAGAAUCCUGCUGCUGAGACAUUUCCAGAGAGAAGAAAAUGAGACUUUUUCUUGUGAUCAUCAUUUACAAAGUUUCACAGUCACCAAGACCUCUGGGAAGGUGGGAAGCACAUGACCCCACCAUUUCCCUCUGAUGGAAGUGGCUGGUAGGUGAGGUGUGUAAGGAACACUCUAGCAAGUCCGCACCCUGUGCCUCUGCUGACUCAUACCGGUGCUGAUCUGGGACACUGGUGCCAACUUCUGCCAGGUUGUGACCCUCUGACCUCUUAAGCGAAGGUAAGAUAGAAACAUAACCUAGAAAUAAUGGCA